rnacentral:rRNA from 1 species
AACGAACGCUGGCGGCGAUGCCUAACACAUGCAAGUCGAACGAGACCUUCGGGUCGUAGUGGCGCACGGGUGCGUAACGCGUGGGAAUCUGCCCUUGGGUUCGGAAUAACUCGCCGAAAGGCGUGCUAAUACCGGAUGAUGUCGUAAGACCAAAGAUUUAUCGCCCAGGGAUGAGCCCGCGUAAGAUUAGGUAGUUGGUGAGGUAAAGGCUCACCAAGCCGACGAUCUUUAGCUGGUCUGAGAGGAUGAUCAGCCACACUGGGACUGAGACACGGCCCAG